UUGUGCUGGAGAUCUAGAGAUUACUACUUCUCUAGGCAUUUGUAGGUCCUCUGGCAUGAUUAUAUGGUCAAGUUUUGGCAGAUGUUGACCACAGGGCAGUGCUGGAGGACCUAGAGAUUCCUAGAGAGGUGGUAUUUCAGGUAAAAAGAAGGGUGUUUUUUUAUUCACGGUUUUUCAACUUUCACAGGGGCCCUGUGCCCUAAGCACAGCAAAUGGGGAUGUGGCCCACUGUACAGUCAAAUUUAAAAACAAGUUAAUUCACUUCAUAAAACACAUUGAAAUUAUUCUAAAAACCACCAAAAGUUUAAAAGAUAAAUAACACAUCCUCAACAAAAAACAAACGAAAAACCCUACUUAUACAUUGAAAGCCUGCUUAACAAAAAACAUCUUUGGAGGAAGGGAGCCAACCUAACCUCCCGUGGAAGGUUGGGAACAGCCACUGAGAAGGCUGACUUCUGUGCCUUUGAUGGUGGCAGGGCCGAACGAAAGCCUUCCCAUAUAGAUCUUAGAGCUCUGGCAGGUUCAUAUCGGGAAAAACAUUCUUUCAGAUAAUCUGGAUUCAAGCCUUAUAGGGCUUUAUACGUCAUGACAAGUUGUGCCUGGAAGUGAACCAGUUGCCGAUGGAGCUGUUUUAACAAACAUGUUAUAUGCUCCCUACUACUGGCCCCAGUCAACAUUCUGAUUACAGCAGUUUGAACCCACCAAUGCUUCUGAGCAUUUUCUAAAGGCGGCCCCAGGUAGAGUGCAUUACAGAAGUCCAAAUGGGAGUUAAUCCAGACAUGUUUCACAAUACAGUAUAUAGAUCUGACUUCUCAAGGAAUGGCAAAGUUGAUGGACUAGUUUUAGUUCUGCAAAUGGACUCCCAGCCACUGCUGAAGGAUCACUUCACAGCAGGUGCCCUUCCACAAGGCAUAGGGGGUAACUAAGGGUUAUAUAAACAAGGGUUUGUGUAUAUUGUAAUUCAAGCUUUCCCCAGGCAAUUCAGAAGAGUUAUAUACCAAGUCAGCUAGCUCUGCUCACUCUCUGCCUGAUUUGCAGCUCUCAGACCAAAAUCUUUCAGCAGGAGAUGUCAGGGCUAGAAGCUGAAACCCUUUGCAAAGCACACAAACGCUUUAGGCUGCCUUCAAAGCCUUUCUUUGCUUAAGUAUCCAGACAAAUAAUGUUUUCAUUGUACUUUUUACCAUAACUUUUUUUAAAAAAUUCAUCCAGCUCUUAGAGCCAGAUUAAAAAGGAGGAGGGAUAUCACAUUUAUUUGCCUAGUGGACAAAGUCAGAUGGAGAAAGUAGCAGAAAGGAGAGAAGAAACAUUCCAUUUGGGGCUACAAAAGGCAACCAAAGGUACUGGGCUAGAACAGCAGUGUUGUGAAGCUGAAAACUUUCGCAGGGUGAUGACAAUCAAGGCCACAAUCACAGAUGUGCCCAGCAAAGCGGCAAUCACAAUGGCACCAAUGGCUCCAGGACCCAGUGACCCUGCAGGCCAUACCUGCAAGGAAAUCUGAAGUCUAAUGUGUUGAGUGCUGGAGAAGAAGCAAAUCCUAGUCAUGAAACCAAUUCACAAGGCAGGAUGAUAUGAGCUCAAGAAUACAAAGUUUAAAAAAGAACCAGUCAGUUGAGUUCUCUUGUAUAAACAAGACAAGAGCAUGAAUGAGUGUAUGUCUUCUGAGGGAAGAAGGGAAGACUGAAGUUUUGUCAAACAUUUCCAAUCACAGCUUAACUGAUGUUUAUU